rnacentral:rRNA from 1 species
AUGGCUCAGAUCUUGCUCCAUGGGAACCUCCACGUCACCAUCUUCGAGGCCUCGUCGCUCUCCCACCCCGGCCGCGCCAGCGGCGGCGCCCCCAAGUUCAUCCGCAAGUUUGUGGAGGGGAUUGAAGAAACCGUCGGUGUUGGCAAAGGAAGCUCCAAGCUAUAUGCAACCAUUGAUCUUGAGAAAGCUCGUGUUGGGCGUACCAGGAUGUUGGGCAACGAGCCGGUCAACCCUCGCUGGUACGAGUCGUUCCACAUCUACUGUGCGCACCUUGCCGCCGAUGUGAUCUUCACGAUGAAGGCCGACAACGCGAUCGGGGCGACGCUCAUUGGAAGGGCGUACCUGCCUGUCGGAGAGCUCCUGGGAGGAGAGGAGAUCGACAGGUGGCUUGAAAUCUGUGAUGACAACCGGGAGCCUGUUGGUGAGAGCAAGAUCCAUGUGAAGCUUCAGUACUUUGGCGUUGACAAGGACCGCAACUGGGCGAGGGGUGUCCGGAGUGUCAAGUUUCCUGGUGUUCCUUACACCUUCUUUUCGCAGAGGCAAGGAUGCAAUGUUAGAUUGUACCAAGAUGCUCAUGUCCCAGACAACUUUAUCCCCAAGAUUCCGCUUGCGGAUGGCAAGAACUAUGAGCCUGCCAGAUGUUGGGAGGAUAUCUUUGAUGCCAUAAGCAAUGCUCAGCAUUUGAUUUACAUCACCGGCUGGUCUGUGCACACUGAGAUCACCUUGAUUAGGGACACCAAUCGCCCCAAACCUGGAGGAGAUGUCACUCUCGGAGAGUUACUCAAGAGGAAGGCCAGCGAAGGUGUCCGGGUCCUUAUGCUAGUGUGGGAUGAUAGAACUUCAGUUGGCUUGCUGAAGAGAGAUGGCUUGAUGGCCACCCAUGAUGAGGAGACUGCAAAUUACUUCCAAGGCACGGAUGUGCACUGUGUUCUGUGCCCUCGUAACCCCGAUGAUUCAGGCAGCAUUGUUCAGGAUCUGCAGAUCUCAACCAUGUUCACUCACCAUCAGAAGAUAGUAUGUGUUGACGAUGCGUUGCCAAGCCAGGGCUCCGAGCAAAGGAGGAUACUCAGCUUCGUUGGUGGCAUUGACCUCUGCGACGGAAGAUAUGACACUCAGUACCACUCCUUGUUUAGGACACUUGACACUGUCCACCAUGAUGACUUCCACCAGCCUAACUUUGCGACUGCAUCCAUCACCAAAGGUGGCCCAAGAGAGCCAUGGCAUGAUAUUCAUUCCCGAUUGGAAGGUCCAAUUGCCUGGGAUGUUCUUUACAAUUUCGAGCAGAGAUGGAGAAAGCAGGGUGGCAAAGAUCUUCUCGUGCAGCUCAGGGAUCUCUCUGACAUAAUUAUCCCCCCUUCUCCUGUCAUGUUCCCAGAGGACAGAGAUACAUGGAAUGUCCAGCUCUUCAGAUCUAUUGAUGGUGGUGCUGCUUUUGGCUUCCCUGAUACUCCUGAGGAAGCUGCAAGGGCUGGGCUUGUAAGUGGAAAGGAUCAAAUCAUUGACAGGAGCAUCCAGGAUGCAUACAUAAAUGCCAUCCGGCGGGCAAAGGACUUCAUCUACAUUGAGAACCAAUACUUCCUUGGAAGUUCCUACUGCUGGAAACCUGAAGGAAUCAAGCCUGAAGAAAUUGGUGCUCUGCAUGUGAUUCCUAAGGAGCUUUCGUUGAAGAUUGUCAGUAAGAUUGAAGCCGGAGAACGGUUUACUGUUUAUGUUGUGGUGCCAAUGUGGCCUGAGGGCAUGCCAGAGAGUGCAUCUGUACAAGCAAUUCUGGACUGGCAAAGGAGAACAAUGGAGAUGAUGUACACUGACAUCACACAAGCUCUCGAGGCAAAGGGAAUUGAAGCAAACCCCAAGGAAUACCUCACUUUCUUCUGCCUAGGUAACCGUGAGGUGAAGCAGGAUGGGGAAUAUGAACCCCAGGAGCAGCCAGAACCUGAUACUGAUUACGUCCGCGCUCAAGAGGCUAGGAGGUUCAUGAUCUACGUUCAUACCAAAAUGAUGAUAGUUGAUGACGAGUACAUCAUCAUUGGUUCUGCAAACAUCAACCAAAGGUCAAUGGACGGCGCCCGGGACUCCGAGAUUGCCAUGGGCGCUUACCAGCCAUACCAUCUAGCCAACAGGGAGCCGGCCCGGGGCCAGAUCCACGGCUUCCGGAUGGCGCUGUGGUACGAGCACCUGGGCAUGCUGGACGACGUGUUCCAGCGCCCGGAGAGCGUCGAUUGCGUGCAGAAGGUGAACAGGAUCGCCGAUAAGUACUGGGACAUGUACUCGAGCGACGACCUGGAGCAGGACCUCCCCGGCCACCUGCUGAGCUACCCCAUCGGCGUCGCCAGCGACGGCGUGGUGACGGAGCUGCCGGGCAUGGAGUUCUUCCCCGACACCCGGGCCCGCAUCCUCGGCACCAAGUCGGACUACCUUCCCCCCAUCCUCACCACAUAG